GGCUUUAUAGUCAAUAAAUUAUGAUAUUAGAUUGCAAGUCUAAAGUAACAACUUAGUUAAAGCUU
rnacentral:tRNA from 1 species